GUUUAUUCCUAAUGGUGAUAGGAGAGGGAUUAUGCCUAAUGAUGGUGUUAGAUGGGAUAAUAUCCCACUCCCUCUUCCAUCACCAUUAGUCGUCACCCCCUCUUUCUCCCAUCACCAUCAAGCAUCACCCCCUCUCUCUCCCAUCAACAUUAGGCAUCACCCUACACCUCUUUCACCACUAUUUGGGAGCCAUAACUCCUUCUAUUUGCCACCACAACUCAGCAUCUUCCUCC